GGCAUGUGAUACCUUUUCGGAAA
rnacentral:siRNA from 1 species